AUUGAACGCUGGCGGCAUGCCUUACACAUGCAAGUCGAACGGUAACAGGUCUUCGGAUGCUGACGAGUGGCGAACGGGUGAGUAAUACAUCGGAACGUGCCUAGUAGUGGGGGAUAACUACUCGAAAGAGUGGCUAAUACCGCAUGAGAUCUACGGAUGAAAGCAGGGGAUCGCAAGACCUUGUGCUACUAGAGCGGCCGAUGGCAGAUUAGGUAGUUGGUGGGAUAAAAGCUUACCAAGCCGACGAUCUGUAGCUGGUCUGAGAGGACGAUCAGCCACACUGGGACUGAGACACGGCCCAGACUGCUACGGGAUGCAGCAGUGGGGAAUUUUGGACAAUGGGCGAAAGCCUGAUCCAGCAAUGCCGCGUGCAGGAUGGAGGCCUUCGGGUUGUAAACUGCUUUUGUACGGAACGAAAAGCCCCGGGUUAAUACCCUGGGGUCAUGACGGUACCGUAAGAAUAAGCACCGGCUAACUACGUGCCAGCCGCCGCCGUAA
rnacentral:rRNA from 1 species